rnacentral:rRNA from 1 species
AUUGAACGCUGGCGGCAGGCCUAACACAUGCAAGUCGGACGGUAGCACAGAGGAGCUUGCUCCUCGGGUGACGAGUGGCGGACGGGUGAGUAAUGUCUGGGGAUCUGCCCGAUAGAGGGGGAUAACCACUGGAAACGGUGGCUAAUACCGCAUAACGUCGCAAGACCAAAGAGGGGGACCUUCGGGCCUCUCACUAUCGGAUGAACCCAGAUGGGAUUAGCUAGUAGGCGGGGUAACGGCCCACCUAGGCGACGAUCCCUAGCUGGUCUGAGAGGAUGCCCAGCCACACUGGAACUGAGGCACGGUCCAGACGCCUACGGGAGGCAGCAGUGGGGAAUAGUGCACAAUGGGCGCAAGCCUGAUGCAGCCAUGCCGCGUGUAUGAAGAAGGCCUUCGGGUUGUAAAGUACUUUCAGCGGGGAGGAAGGCGAUGUGGUUAAUAACCGCGUCGAUUGACGUUACCCGCAGAAGAAGCACCGGCUAACUCCGUGCCAGCAGCCGCCGUAA